UAAGGAAUAUUGGUCAAUGGACGCAAGUCUGAACCAGCCAUGCCGCGUGGAGGAUUAAGGCCCUCUGGGUUGUAAACUCCUUUUAUCUGGGAAGAAAUGUACUUUUUCUUGAGUACUUGACGGUACCAGAGGAAUAAGCACCGGCUAACUCCGUGCCAGCAGCCGCGGUAAUACGGAGGGUGCAAGCGUUAUCCGGAUUCACUGGGUUUAAAGGGUGCGUAGGUGGGCAGGUAAGUCAGUGGUGAAAUCUCCGGGCUUAACCCGGAAACUGCCGUAGAUACUAUUUGUCUUGAAUAUUGUGGAGGUAAGCGGAAUAUGUCAUGUAGCGGUGAAAUGCUUAGAUAUGACAUAGAACACCAAUUGCGAAGGCAGCUUACUACACAAUCAUUGACGCUGAGGCACGAAAGCGUGGGGAUCAAACA
rnacentral:rRNA from 1 species